rnacentral:ncRNA from 1 species
GAGAUACCGUUGAUUAAGAAAAGUAAAAGAGAUCGUUUGGUUUCAGAGAGAAAAACCCGUGGCUGUAAGGUUUUUCACCAAACCCUGUUUGAAAGACACUUAGGAGGUUUUCAUUCGAACGCUUGCCAGUAGAGUGAAACGUUAUCAGGCGUUAACUGAGAGUGGAAAACACAGUGUGUUUUCAAUUAGGGUGGUACCACGGGUGAUAAGAAAACACUCGUCCCUUGU